ACUCAAAGGAAUUGACGGGGGCCCGCACAAGCGGUGGAGCAUGGGGUUUAAUUCGUCACUAACCGAAGAACCUUACCCAGGCUUGACAUCCUCGGACCGCCGGUGAAAGCCGGUUUUCCCCGCAAGGGGACCGAGAGACAGGUGUUGCAUGGCUGUCGUCAGCUCGUGUCGUGAGAUGUUGGGUUAAGUCCCGCAACGAGCGCAACCCUCACAGUGUGUUGCUAGCGGAAACGCGCACUCACACGGAACUGCCGGGGCAACCCGGAGGAAGGCGGGGAUGACGUCAAGUCGGCAUGGCCCUUACGCCUGGGGCUACACCCAUGCUACAAUGGGGCGGACAGAGGGCUGCAAGACCGCAAGGUGGAGCGAAUCCCAAAAACCGUCUCUCAGUUGGAAUUGGGGUCUGCAACUCGACCCCAUGAACGUGGAAUCGCUAGUAAACGCCGGUCAGCCAAACGGCGUUGAAUCCGUUCCCGGGCCUUGCACACACCGCCCGU
rnacentral:rRNA from 1 species